rnacentral:tRNA from 1 species
GGGAUGUUAACUCAGUUGGUUUAGAGUGUCACCUUGACAGGGUGGAAGUCACAGGUUCGAGUCCUGUACAUCCCACAA